UGAUCCUGGCUCAGAACGAACGCUGGCAGCGUGGAUUAGGCAUGCAAGUCGAACGAGAAUCUGUUUUUCAAUUCUUCGGAAGAGAAUUUCAGAGGGAAGUGGCGUAAGGGUGAGUAACGCGUGGGCAAUCUGCCCUCGAGUUCGGGAUAAUCCUGCGAAAGCGGGACUAAUACCGGAUAUGGUGGUUCUGUUGGUUCAGGAUUAACCAAAGGUGGGGAUUCUUCGGAACCUGCCGCUUGAGGAGGAGCCCGCGUCCCAUCAGUUAGUUGGUAGGGUAAUGGCCUACCAAGGCAAAGACGGGUAGCCGGCCUGAGAGGGUGAUCGGCCACACUGGGACUGAGACACUGCCCAGACUCCUACGGGAGGCUGCAGUCGAGGAUCAUUCGCAAUGCGCGAAAGCGUGACGAUGCGACGCUGCGUGUAGGAUGACGGCCUUCGGGUUGUAAACUACUGUCAUAAGGGAGAAGCCGGUACAUGAUUAAUACUUGUGCACCCCGAUGUUACCUUAAGAGGAAGCCACGGCUAACUCUGUGCCAGCAGCCGCGGUAAUACAGAGGUGGCGAGCGUUGUUCGGAUUUACUGGGCGUAAAGGGUGUGUAGGUUGUCAUGUAUGUCGGAUGUGAAAUUCCGGGGCUCAACCCCGGCGCUGCAUUCGAAACUGCAUGACUAGAGUGCGGAAGAGGUAGGCGGAAUUCUUGGUGUAGCGGUGAAAUGCGUUGAUAUCAAGAAGAACACCGGAUGCGAAGGCGGCCUACUGGUACGUUACUGACACUCAUACACGAAAGCUAGGGGAGCAAACAGGUUUAGAUACCCUGGUAGUCCUAGCUGUAAACGGUGUGCACUCGAUGUUGGCGGAAUUGUCCCCGCCAGUGUCUAAGCAAACGCGUUAAGUGCACCGCCUGGGGAGUACGGUCGCAAGAUUAAAACUCAAAGAAAUUGACGGGGACCCGCACAAGCGGAGGAGCAUGUGGCUUAAUUCGAUGCAACGCGAAGAACCUUACCUGGACUUGACAUAUAACUGCACGUCCUGUGAAAGCAGGAUUCCUUCGAGGGUGUUAUACAGGUGCUGCAUGGCUGUCGUCAGUUCGUGCCGUGAGGUGUUAGGUUAAGUCCUGCAACGAACGCAACCCCUAUGUUUAGUUGCCAUCAGGUUAUGCUGGGCACUCUAGACAGACUGCCCGUGCAAUCGGGAGGAAGGUGGGGACGACGUCAAGUCAGUAUGGCCCUUACGUCCAGGGCUGCACACGUGCUACAAUGACCGGUACAGAGGGCAGCGAUACCGCGAGGUGGAGCUAAUCCCUUAAAACCGGUCCCAGUUCGGAUUGGAGUCUGCAACUCGACUUCAUGAAGUUGGAUUCGCUAGUAACGGCGUAUCAGCUACGGCGCCGUGAAUACGUUCCCGGGUCUUGUACACACCGCCCGUCACAUCAUGAAAGCCGUCUGCACCCAAAGUCGCUGACUCAACUGAUUUAUCAGAGAGAGGCGCCUAAGGUGUGGGUGGUAAUUGGGAUGAAGUCGUA
rnacentral:rRNA from 1 species